rnacentral:rRNA from 1 species
UACGGAGGUGGCAAGCGUUGUUCGGAAUUACUGGGCGUAAAGGGCGCGUAGGCGGCAUGGCAAGUCAGAUGUGAAAGCCCCGGGCUUAACCUGGGAAUUGCAUCUGAAACUGUUGUGCUUGAGUUCUGGAGGGGGUAGUGGAAUUCCCAGUGUAGCGGUGAAAUGCGUAGAUAUUGGGAGGAACACCUGCGGCGAAGGCGGCUACCUGGACAGAUACUGACGCUGAGGCGCGAAAGCUAGGGGAUCAAACGGGAUUAGAUACCCCGGUAGUCCCU